rnacentral:rRNA from 1 species
UACGUAGGGGUGCAAGCGUUAUCCGGAAUUAUUGGGCGUAAAGAGCUCGUAGGCGGUUUGUCGCGUCUGCUGUGAAAACUGGGGGCUCAACCCCCAGCCUGCAGUGGGUACGGGCAGACUAGAGUGCGGUAGGGGAGAUUGGAAUUCCUGGUGUAGCGGUGGAAUGCGCAGAUAUCAGGAGGACACCGAGUGCGAAGGCAGAUCUCUGGGCCGUAACUGACGCUGAGGAGCGAAAGCAUGGGGAGCGAACAGG